UGGGGAAUAUUGGACAAUGGGCGAAAGCCUGAUCCAGCCAUGCCGCGUGUGUGAAGAAGGUCUUCGGAUUGUAAAGCACUUUAAGUUGGGAGGAAGGGUUGUAGAUUAAUACUCUGCAAUUUUGACGUUACCGACAGAAUAAGCACCGGCUAACUUCGUGCCAGCAGCCGCGGUAAUACGAAGGGUGCAAGCGUUAAUCGGAAUUACUGGGCGUAAAGCGCGCGUAGGUGGUUCAGUAAGUUGGAUGUGAAAUCCCCGGGCUCAACCUGGGAACUGCAUCCAAAACUGCUGAGCUAGAGUACGGUAGAGGGUGGUGGAAUUUCCUGUGUAGCGGUGAAAUGCGUAGAUAUAGGAAGGAACACCAGUGGCGAAGGCGACCACCUGGACUGAUACUGACACU
rnacentral:rRNA from 1 species